AACUUAUGGUGGGGAAAUUGAUUCAGCUUCUUCUUAAAAUACAACUAUGCUUCAUGUAAGGCUUCACUAGGUUGCUGCCUAAAAUUACUAAUUUAUGCCUCAGCU
rfam:Capsicum annuum cultivar Zunla-1 chromosome 4, whole genome shotgun sequence